AUCCAGUUGACGAUUCCCAAAUAGGACGAAACGCGCAUCCUGGAU
rnacentral:hammerhead_ribozyme from 1 species